GGUUGGAUCAUUAACAAUGGUUUUCAAACCUUUUAUCUGUGCACCCUACAGCGCUGUUUCUUUAGGUCGUCAGCUUAGGCUAGGUCUAAAGAAUCAGUGCUACUGUUCAUCUCUUGCCUCUCUAUUCUUUGGAAAGACGGCUCGAGAAAUUUUUAAACCAUGUAUUGUAUCGAGUCUUGAAUUUGUAUUAAAAUGAAAAACUUUUGACAACGGAUCUCUUGGCUCUCGCAACGAUGAAGAACGCAGCGAAAUGCGAUACGUAAUGUGAAUUGCAGAAUUCAGUGAAUCAUCGAAUCUUUGAACGCAUAUUGCGCUCUCUGGUAUUCCGGAGAGCAUGCCUGUUUGAGUAUCUCUUUACCAUCUCCCAUAACUCUGGGCGGAUCUGAGUCGUGCUUUACUCCUCGGAAUGAAGCUGACUAGAAAUAGAGAAUUGAUUGAUUCUUUUUCGAAACGACACGAGUAAUUGAAAGGGUUCAUCUCUGCCUUUACUUUGUUGGAUUGAGAGAGGGUCACUAGGUCAAUGCCUUUACAUGGAGUGAAAGCUUCAAUGUAAAACAGAAUCUCAGAGAAACAUUCUCUCAGACUCUCUUAUAGGUCUCAAAUCAGGUAGGAAGACCCGCUGAACUUAAGCAUAUCAAUAAGCGGAGGAAAGAAACUAACCAGGAUUCCCCUAGUAACGGCGAGUGAAGCGGGAAGAGCUCAAAUUUGAAAUCUCACAGGUUCCCUGUGCGAAUUGUAGUUUCAAGAGUCGUUUUCGGGGACAGCCUAGGAACAAGUCCUUAGGAACAAGGCAUCAUAGAGGGUGAGAAUCCCGUCUUUGUCUUGGGUCUGUCUCCAUGUGAUACGUGCUCAAAGAGUCGGUUUGUUUGGGAAUGCAGACCAAAAAGGGUGGUAAAUACCAUCCAAGGCUAAAUACAGGCGAGAGACCGAUAGCGAACAAGUACCGUGAGGGAAAGAUGAAAAGAACUUUGAAAAGAGAGUUAAAAGUGCGUGAAAUUGUCAAAAGGGAAACGCUUGAAAUCAGUCAUGCGACUGGAGAAUCAGCUCGUCUUUGGCGGGUGCACUUUUCCAGUUGCGAGUCAACAUCGAUUUGGUUUGGAGUAUAAAGCAGGAGGAAUGUGGCCUUUUGGUGUUAUAGCCUCCUGUCAUGCUCUGGACUGGAUCGAGGAAUGCAGUACUUUUGGAGACCUUGUCGCCUUUGGAAGCAUGGGUCAAGACAGCAUGCUGACUUGGCUCAAUGUGAAGAAGAACGGCUUGUUAUUACACCGGUGCUUAGGAUGUUGACGAAAUGGUUUUAAACGACCCGUCUUGAAACACGGACCAAGGAGUCUAACAUGCAUGCGAGUAUUUGGGUGGCAAACCCUUGUGCGCAAUGAAAGUAAACGGUGGGAUAUUUGCACCAUCGACCGGCCUGGAUUUCUUUGAAAGGUCUGAGUAAGAGCAUGCAUGCUGGGACCCGAAAGAUGGUGAACUAUGCCUGAAUAGGGUGAAGCCAGAGGAAACUCUGGUGGAGGCUCGUAGCGAUUCUGACGCGCAAAUCGAUCGUCAAAUUUGGGUAUAGGGGCGAAAGACUAAUCGAACCAUCUAGUAGCUGGUUCCCUC
rnacentral:misc_RNA from 1 species